GAACGUCUUCUCACCCUGUCUCAUCAGGUGACAUGAAGGGCUCAGAGCUCACCAAGAUGUUUACAGAUGAUUCAUACCUAGAAGGGAUAGACUCAACCAACUCAACUGCCCAACCAGUGCAUCGAGAUCUCCGAGCCCUGCACAUCUGAUAGAAAAAGUUGAGACCUGCAAGGUCAAAAAAAGACAACAAAAAGGCUACUGAGAGUGUUUAGACAUUUGCAGUGGAAAUGAAGCAAUUGCCUGUAUUUGAAGACACGGAGAUGAACACAUUGAAUGAAGCACACCAGAUGAUUUGGAUACCUGACUUCUCAUUUGCAGUUUGCUUUUACAGAUCUGUCAUCACAGCUGUUGAGGUAAGCUUCGUGUCUUUCAAAGGGAAGUACUGGGCAGGGCUGAGAAAAGGACCAACAGAGCCUUGGUUCUAUUCUUUGGAACACUUCAUGAUGUCAAGAAUUAUUAUUUGUUCUUUGAAACAAAAACCUUUGGACAGUCAUCAUAAUAAAAUAAGCACAUUUGAGCACUAGCCAUUAGCUUGAUAGGGAGGGAAUUUUCUCGGGAAAUAUGACCCAGAACAAUUUCAUACUAAUAGAUUUCUUCAGGCCUGCGAAAACGAAGGAUGUGGAUCUGCCUGGGGAAAGUUCUACAACUGCCAUGACAUUUUCAAGGAGCAAGAGUUACCAACUGAGCUGAUGACAGAACAAGUCUGUGAGCUGUACUACCACUAGCACGUCUCUGUGGAGACCACCUGGAGAGAUGUUCCAGCUGGUCUGAUGAGGAAGUAGAACCAUUAAUCAUUAGGCUUGUGGACACCAAGCUUCCAUGAGUAUGUGGCUGAGAUGUGCAUCUCAACAAGACAGAAACAGCAAAAUGCUACUUUUAUUAGCACAGACUUAAUCCUAGAGCUCUGUCAAGCGAGUCACUUUCCCCAUCCUCCCUCCUCCUGAAUGAAGAAUCAUUUGCUUUCUUUGCAAGGAAAUUGAUGGAGACACAACGCCUCUUUCCUGAAGUAAGUAAAAAAAAAAAAAAAAAAAAAAAAAAAAAA